rnacentral:lncRNA from 1 species
AGGUCAUCAUCAACUUCAAUAGAUUUUCUGCUAUUCUGAUCCCCAAAGGUAACCAGGGUAACAUCAAAAACAGAACUCUCACUGCAGUGCUCUACAAGAAAAACAAGGCAAAAGUAAAGAAAUGGUAAGAAUCUUCAUUUUGCACAUAAGGUACAGGAGUUCACUUUUCUAAACUGAAAUUUUAGAAUUUAUUUUUCCAAUUCCAUUAUAUGGUUACCUAAAAGGCAGUUAUACUUGUGUGAAUAAAUGGUGACAAACUCCACCCAUUAUUUGGAGGUCCUAGAAUGUUUUCUCAAUCAUUUCUCCUUAAAUUUCUCUUUAACUUACUACAAUAUGAAAGCAUAUCUGUUUAUAUAUCAAAUUAAGUUCCUUCUCAAGCUACAUGCUUUUCUUUCAAGGUUAGAUGGUCUGACUAUCCGAGUUAAAAGUCAAGAAUCUCAGCAUGAUGAACGCAGUGGCUUCCGAAUAGUAUGUUAUUGACUCCAGAAGCUCGGGUUGGGAGAGGAAGGUGUCAGCACUAGAAGAGAGAAUCAGCAAAAUAUAACAUGAAAUUAUUUUUAAACAUAAGACAUUGUACAUGCAAUUACAUCAGAAAUGCUGGUCUAUAUGUAUCUACAUCUGUAAUGUGAGAAAAUGGCAUCUGGGUAAUAAUGUCACACCUAGAACACUGAUAUAAUAAAUUUUCAGUUUAAAGGGUGUUA